GAACGCCGGCGCGGUCCGGCGGAGGUGGAUCCCGUCCCGUCGGGGCGGGCGCACUACCGGCCGAUCUUCUCCGCUUUGUCGGCGAGGUCGAGCGAGAGCGUGCAAGUCGGGACCCGAAAGAUGGUGAACUAUGCCUGAGGAGGUUGAAGCCAGAGGAAACUCUGGUGGAGGACCGUAGCGAUUCUGACGUGCAAAUCGAUCGUCAAAUUUGGGUAUAGGGGCGAAAGACUAAUCGAACCGUCUAGUAGCUGGUUCCCUUCGAAGUUUCCCUCAGGAUAGCUGGCGCUCUGUCGCAGUUUUAUCUGGUAAAGCGAAUGAUUAGAGGUCUUGGGGGCGAAACGCCCUCAACCUAUUCUCAAACUUUAAAUUGGUAAGAAGCCCGACUCGCUCGUUUGGAGCCGGGCAUGGAAUGCGAGUGCCAAGUGGGCCACUCUUGGUAAGCAGGACUGGCGAUGCGGGAUGAACCGAACGCCGGGUUAAGGCGCCCGACGCGACGCUCAUCAGAGCCCACAAAAGGUGUUGGUUGAUAUAGACAGCAGGACGGUGGCCAUGGAAGUCGGAAACCGCUAAGGAGUGUGUAACAACUCACCUGCCGAAUCAAUCAGCCCUGAAAAUGGAUGGCGCUGGAGCGUCGGGCCUAUACCCGGCCGUCGCGGCGGUACGAGCAUCGAGUUGGUGCGCUAGGCCGCCACCACAGGGCGAGCCGCAGCGGCGGGCGUAAAAACCUAGGGCGCGAGCCCGGC
rnacentral:ncRNA from 1 species